AUUCCAGCUCCAAUAGCGUAUAUUAAAGUUGUUGCAGUUAAAAAGCUCGUAGUUGGACUUCUGAUGUGGGACUGCGCCCCGGUAUUUUGCCGUUGGGUGCGGGCUCGCGUCUUCCUCUCGUAGUUGGAUGGUGCACUUAACUGGGUGCCUUCUGAAUAUGGGACCUUUACUUUGAAAAAAUUAGAGUGUUCAAAGCAGGCAAUCGCUUGAAUACAUUAGCAUGGAAUAAUAGAAUAGGACUUUGGUUCUAUUUUGUUGGUUUCUAGGACCGAAGUAAUGAUUAAUAGGAGCAGUUGGGGAUGUCCGUAUUCGAUUGUCAGAGAUGAAAUUCUUGGAUUUAUUGAAGACGAACUACUGCGAAAGCAUUCAUCAAGGAUGUUUUCAUUA
rnacentral:rRNA from 1 species